AUUGUAGAGAAAGAGUCCAGAAGGACCCAGAGAAUGCCAUCACUCAUCAAAACCACAGUCACAGGUUCUGAGGGAAUGGAAAGGAGUGAGUCUCGGAAAAGCAACCGGUCUUUGUACCAUAUUUACUCUACCAUCUAUGAGGGUCAGACUGCAGCAGCCAGCAAAGACAUGAUCUACAGCAAGCUGCAGGCACACUGACAUGCUAACAGUUUAAAAGUGUGUUCAAGAAGAGAAGAAGUUGACUGAUGUGAUGUAGAACCAGAGGUACCCAUCAUGGACCAGACAGCAGCUGUCAUAUUUCUGAUGGACCGGUGGGGUGGGGGCGGAUUGUACACCAUCCUCUACUAAUGUCACAUUGAGAUAUAUGAAGUACAGUAAAAGCAUAAUGCAACCCAAACGACUGUAGAAAACUCUCAAAAAAUCUAAACUUAACUCGCCAUCAGUGUGAGCCAGUUUUCUGGAGACAAGGUGGUCGAAGCAUGGCGUUUUGUCUGCGAGUGAAAGGCGCUGCGGGUUUCUAACAUCCACUCUGCUGCGGAGCCUUGGUUUGUUAGCAGUCAGAGCUAAAUGAGAUAUGUCUCCAUAUCCUCACUGUCUAUGAGCCUUUUUUCAGGAGCCCAAGUAAAAAAACGUGUUGAUGUGAUCUGUUUCUUCAUGUUCUCUCCUCACUAGCAUGCGCAGCUUUGACCCACACGUGACCUUAUCAGUAAAAUGUUUGUAUCUUCAUAUUUAAACUUUUACUGAAUCAAAUUCAGAAAAAAAAAAAGCCUUUUGAUGAAGUCAAAGGAGUUCCUUUAUGGCAAUUACAUCCACCCUCUUGCUUCCCACUGGGUGUGACUGGCCCGGUGUGAAACAACCCAAGGCCCGGUAACGGCCCGAGGCCCGAUGGUUGGGGACCCCUGAUGUAGAGUAAUCCUGAGCUUCUGUCAUGUCUUCUUCUCAAAUCAACCAAUAUGUAAAAUGAAACCAAAGUUUUCCAAUGUCUUACAGUCAGAAUAUCUAGUUCAAUCCUGCUUUUUACACAAGUGUUUGCUUUAAGGUGAAGACAAUAUUUUUGGAUAUACUUCGUCUCAGUCUUGUUGUUUGCUUACUUCUUUACAAACACUGUAUGCUACAGACCCAAUGCAAAAUAUUUGAAUCUUUGUAUAUUUCAAAUAAACCUGAAUUAAUGUGU